UACAGAGGUCUCGAGCGUUGUUCGGAUUCAUUGGGCGUAAAGGGUGCGUAGGUGGCGCUGUAAGUCGGGUGUGAAAUCCUGGGGCUUAACCCCGGAACUGCAUUCGAUACUGCAGUGCUUGAGGACUGGAGAGGAGACUGGAAUUCAUGGUGUAGCAGUGAAAUGCGUAGAGAUCAUGAGGAAGACCAGUGGCGAAGGCGGGUCUCUGGACAGUUCCUGACACUGAGGCACGAAGGCCAGGGGAGCAAACAGG
rnacentral:rRNA from 1 species